rnacentral:tRNA from 1 species
UGUAGCAUAGUGUAGUGGUUUGAGUGUUGGACUACUACUCUGGAGACCAGGGUUCAAUUCCCAGCUCUGCCA